rnacentral:misc_RNA from 1 species
UAGGACUACAAGGGUAUCUAAUCCUGUUCGCUACCCACGCUUUCGUCCAUCAGCGUCAAUCCAUUAGUAGUAACCUGCCUUCGCAAUUGGUAUUCCAUGUAAUCUCUAAGCAUUUCACCGCUACACUACAUAUUCUAGUUACUUCCUAAUAAUUCAAGCCAAACAGUAUCAAUGGCCGUUCCAUCGUUGAGCGAUGGGCUUUCACCACUGACUUAUUUGGCCGCCUACGGACCCUUUAAACCCAAUGAUUCCGGAUAACGCUUGCAUCCUCCGUAUUACCGCGGCGGCUGGCACCG